UAAAAAUACAACUCUAAAGUAAUUUUCUAUAAUUAUCAGCCUUCUUACAGAGUGACUUCAGAAAAUGCCAGAGAAAUGCUUCAGUGUAUCCUCAGAUUCGGCAGCGUUGCUCCGAGGAGGAAGCCUAAUAGUGUUUGGCAGGGGAGUAGCCCAUUCCAUUUUCUGAGACAAGCAGUGCAGCUUCCUGCCAGCGCUCUUCCCGUGAAGAUUUGCGUGGCCGGAUCUGGUAUCUAACAAUGUGACUUUCUCAUCCAAUUCCUGUUCGUCUGUGUGCUCUCACAGGGACUCUGCCAUCUCCAGUAACAAGACCCCCCACAACAGCUCCAUCAACCACAUCGAGACGGUGCUGCAGCAGCUGGACGAGGUGCAGUCGCAGAUGGAGGAGCUCUUCCAGGAGCGCAAGAUCAAGCUGGAGCUCUUCCUGUAGCUGCGCAUCUUCGAGAGGGACGCCAUCGACAUUAUCUCAGACCUGGAGUCUUGGAAUGAUGAACUUUCUCAGCAAAUGAAUGACUUCGACACAGAAGAUCUCACGAUCGCAGAGCAGCGCCUCCAGCACCAUGCAGACAAAGCCUUGACCAUGAACAACUUGACUUUUGACAUCAUCCGUCAAGGACAAGAUCUUUUGCAGUACGUCAAUGAGGUCCAGGCCUCUGGAGUAGAGCUGCUUUGUGACAGAGAUGUAGAUAUGGCAACCCGCGUCCAGGACCUGCUGGAGUUUCUUCAUUAAAAACAGCAGGAAUUGGAUUUAGCCGCAGAGCAGCAUCGGAAACACCUGGAGCAGUGCGUGCAGCUGCGCCACCUGCAGGCAGAAGUGAAGCAGGUGCUGGGUUGGAUCCGCAGCGGAGAGUCGAUGUUAAGUGCUGGACCUACCAGCUCAUUACAAGAGGCUGAGCAGCUCCAACGAGAGCACGAGCAGUUCCAGCAUGCCAUCGAGAAAACACAUCAGAGCGCGCUGCACGUGCAGCAGAAGGCGGAAGCCAUGCUGCAGGCCAACCACUACGACAUGGACAUGAUCCGGAACUGUGCUGAGAAGGUGGCGUCACACUGGCAGCAGCUCAUGCUUAGGAUGGAAGAUCACCUCAAGCUUGUCAAUGCCUCUGUCGCUUUCUACAAAACCUCGGAGCAGGUGCAGCGUCCUUGAGAGCCUGGAACAGGAGUACAAGAGAGAAGAAGACUGGCGUGGUGGGGCAGAUAAACUGGGCCCCAACUCCAAGACGGACCGUGUGACGCCCAUGAUCAGCAAGCACCUGGAGCAGAAGGAGGCAUUCCAGAAGGCUUGCACACUUGCUCGGAGGAAUGCAGAUGUCUUCCUGAGAUACAUGCGCAGGAACAGUGUGAACAUGUCAGGAAUGGUGACGCACAUCAAAGCUCCUGAGCAGCAAGUGAAAAAUAUCUUGAAUGAGCUCUUCCAACGGGAGAACAGGGUAUUGCAUUAUUGGACCAUGAGGAAGAGACAGCUGGACCAGUGUCAGCAGUAUGUGGUUUUUGAGAGGAGUGCCAAGCAGGCUUUGGAAUAGAUCCAUGACAAUGGUGAGUUCUACCUUUCCACGCACACCUCCACAGUCUCCAGUAUACAGCACACCCAGGAGCUCCUAAAAGAGCAGGAGGAGUUCCAGAUACCUGCAAAGCAAACCAAAGAGAGGGUGAAGCUAUUGAUACAGCUGGCUGAUGGCUCUUGUGAAAAAGGGCAUGCCCAUGCGGCAGAGAUAAAAAAAUGUUACUGCUGUGGAUAAGAGGCGCAGAGAUUUAUCUCUGCAGAUGGAGAAGUACAGGACCUCUUUGGAGAAAGCCCUGGGGAUUUCUUCAGAUUCCAACAAAUUGAGUAAAAGUCUCCAGCUAGAUAUCAUUCCAGCCAGUAUCCCUGGCUCAGAGGUGAAGCUUCGAGAUGCUGCUCAUGAACUUAAUGAAGAGAAGUGGAAAUCUGCCCACAGGAAAGAGUUCAUAAUGGCUGAGCUCAUUCAAACUGAAAAGGCUUAUGUAAGAGACCUCCCGGAAUGUAUGGAUACAUUGUU